rnacentral:tRNA from 1 species
GCCUGGGUAGCUCAGUCAGUUGAGCAUCUGACUUCGGCUCAGGUCAUGAUCUCAAGGCUUGUGGGUUUGAGCCCCACAUCAGGCU